rnacentral:rRNA from 1 species
GACGAACGCUGGCGGCGUGCCUAAUACAUGCAAGUUGAGCGCUGAAGGUUGGUACUUGUACCAACUGGAUGAGCAGCGAACGGGUGAGUAACGCGUGGGGAAUCUGCCUUUGAGCGGGGGACAACAUUUGGAAACGAAUGCUAAUACCGCAUAAAAACUUUAAACACAAGUUUUAAGUUUGAAAGAUGCAAUUGCAUCACUCAAAGAUGAUCCCGCGUUGUAUUAGCUAGUUGGUGAGGUAAAGGCUCACCAAGGCGAUGAUACAUAGCCGACCUGAGAGGGUGAUAGGCCACAUUGGGACUGAGACACGGCCCAAACUCCUACGGGAGGAAGCAGUAGGGAAUCUUCGGCAAUGGACGAAAGUCUGACCGAGCAACGCCGCGUGAGUGAAGAAGGUUGUCGGAUCGUAAAACUCUGUUGGUAGAGAAGAACGUUGGUGAGAGUGGAAAGCCCAUCAAGUGACGGUAACUACCCAGAAAGGGACGGCUAACUACGUG